rnacentral:rRNA from 1 species
AUUGAACGCUGGCGGCAGGCCUAACACAUGCAAGUCGAACGAGUGGCGGACGGGUGAGUAAUGUCUGGGAAACUGCCCGAUGGAGGGGGAUAACUACUGGAAACGGUAGCUAAUACCGCAUACCAUCGGAUGUGCCCAGUUGGGAUUAGCUAGUAGGGGGGGUAACGGCUCACCUAGGCGACGAUCCCUAGCUGGUCUGAGAGGACGACCAACCACACUGGGACGGGGACACGGCCCAGACUCCAACGGGAGGCAGAAGGGGGAAAUUUUGGACAAUGGGGGAAACCCUGAGCAAGCCAUGCCGCGUGGAGGAAGAAGGCCUUCGGGUUGUAAAGUACGUUCAGCGAGGAGGCGUUACUCGCAGAAGAAGCACCGGCUAACUCCGUGCCAGCAGCCGCGGUAAUAC